GAGUUUCCUACCUCCUCCUACCCUCUCCUAACCUACCCUACCCCAAGCCAGCGGAAAUCGUUGUUUGACGGAAGAUCCACGGAAAAUUUGCCCAGUGUAUUAGCCCCUUAACAGUGAGAUGGAUUGCCAUGCGCAGGUCAUCGCUAGAUUUGUAAACAAUGGAGGUUGCCACAAGGCUCAAGUUAGAGUCAAUGGACUGUAGUCUAACAAUAGUAAAAAGAAACACACAAGAUAGUCUAGUAUUUUUUGUUUUCUUUCUUCUGCUGUUGUAUUCGUUUUCAGAGUGGAAGACUCCACUCAUGUCACUACCCACACCCACCUCCAUCCAUUUACCCCCCAACUUCAUUCCCCCGACUCGCCCACCCACCCAAGCAUCCACAGACCCGCUCGCUCAUCUCCAACUUCUCCCACCCCCUCAAUUCCACCUCCUGACCAGCCCUUCCACUCGCCUCCACCUACAACUUCUCCCACCUACUAACCCGCCCUUCCACCCACCUCCAUCACCGCCGUCCACUCAAAGAGGAAACGGGUCAAACAAGGAGUAAGGAGAAUGACCAAGAUUCGAGUCUGGCGGCGUCCCCUCCAUCACCAGCCUCCCUCCUGUGCUGGCGUGGACGAAGAUGAUCCCUGCGCGGUGGUGGGAGAGCAGGGAUGAUGUGCAGCCUUGGUGGUAAUAGAUGGGAAGGUGUGGUGGGAGAUCUGUCAAGUCCACACAGCCAGGCAGCUGUUGAGAAGAAUGUUCGUCAAUAUUGUGUGUAGCUUGACUCUGCUUACGAUGCAUAUGUAUGUAGUCUGCAAGGUUCGAAAAUACAAUACCUACACGUGA